rnacentral:rRNA from 1 species
UACGUAGGGGCCGAGCGUUGUCCGGAGUUAUUGGGCGUGAAGCGCGCGCAGGCGGCCUCGCGCGCCCGACGUGAAAGCCCCCGGCUUAACCGGGGAGGGUCGUUGGGGACGGCGGGGCUUGAGGGCGGGAGAGGUCGGUGGAAUUCCCGGUGUAGUGGUGAAAUGCGUAGAGAUCGGGAGGAACACCUGUGGCGAAGGCGGCCGACUGGGCCGACCCUGACGCUGAGGCGCGAAGGCGUGGGGAGCGAACGGG